CUUCAAUUUCUGGCGGAAGUGUAUGCUCUCCCCACAGGUCUUAGAAGCUCAGAAAGAAUUCCAAAUGUUCUAUGUAGUCCCAACAGCAGGACGAAGAACCGGAAGUCCUCUUUUUCCCCCGGCCAGGACCGAGAGGUUAAGUCCCAUCAGCCCUCGCGCGCCAGCCUCCGGUCUCUUCCUCGGCGCUGCCUGCGGAGGUGGCAGCCAUCUGUUACUGGGGGGUGAUGUGACCCUUGACCUCCCAGGAUCGCGUCUGGAGAGUGGUUAGUAUUCUGCCAGCUUCGGAGACGGGAGGGAAAGCAAGCCUGGCAGAGGUACCCAUUCCAUUCCC
rnacentral:lncRNA from 1 species